rnacentral:rRNA from 1 species
GAUGAACGCUGGCGGCGUGCCUAAUACAUGCAAGUCGAGCGAAUGGAUUAAGAGCUUGCUCUUAUGAAGUUAGCGGCGGACGGGUGAGUAACACGUGGGUAACCUGCCCAUAAGACUGGGAUAACUCCGGGAAACCGGGGCUAAUACCGGAUAACAUUUUGAACCGCAUGGUUCGAAAUUGAACGGCGGCUUCGGCUGUCACUUAUGGAUGGACCCGCGUCGCAUUAGCUAGUUGGUGAGGUAACGGCUCACCAAGGCAACGAUGCGUAGCCGCCAUGAGGUGGUGAUCGGCCACACUGGGACUGAGACACGGCCCAGACUCCUACGGGAGACAGCAGUAGGGACUCUUCCGCAAUGGACGAAAGUCUGACGAAGCAACGCCGCGUGAGUGAUGAAGGCUUUCGGGUCGUAAAACUCUGUUGUUAGGGAAGAACAAGUGCUAGUUGAAUAAGCUGGCACCUUGACGGUACCUAACCAGAAAGCCACGGCUAACUACGUGCCAGCCGCCGCUGUAA